rnacentral:rRNA from 1 species
ACUCAAAGGAAUAGACGGGGACCCGCACAAGCGGUGGAUGAUGUGGUUUAAUUCGAUGCAACGCGAAAAACCUUACCUACUCUUGACAUGUCAAGAAAUCGUCAGAGAUGACUUUGUGCUCGAAAGAGAACUUGAACACAGGUGCUGCAUGGCCGUCGUCAGCUCGUGUCGUGAGAUGUUGGGUUAAGUCCCGCAACGAGCGCAACCCUUAUCGUUAGUUGCUACGCAAGGGCACUCUAAUGAGACUGCCGGUGACAAACCGGAGGAAGGUGGGGAUGACGUCAGGUCAUCAUGGCCCUUAUGAGUAGGGCUACACACGUCAUACAAUGGCCGGUACAGAGGGUUGCCAACCCGCGAGGGGGAGCUAAUCUCAGAAAACCGGUCGUAGUCCGGAUCGUAGUCUGCAACUCGACUGCGUGAAGUCGGAAUCGCUAGUAAUCGCGGAUCAGCUUGCCGCGGUGAAUACGUUCCCGGGUCUUGUACACACCGCCCGU